rnacentral:pre_miRNA from 1 species
UAUAGUGCUAAGACUACAGUCAUGUACAAUAUGAUUAACUCAAACAUUUGCUCAUAAUCAUUGACUAUUAUCAGUCAUGAGCUAUAAUAAACUUUGAAAAAAAGAUCAGUUUCUUUAAAGACUCUGAUACUGA